rnacentral:lncRNA from 1 species
CCAAGUUUCGUUGUCAAAGCCAAGCUUUUUCCUGGCAAACAAUUAUAAUUAUUACUUAGGCAUGCCUAAUUGGUAAGACCAAACCAAACCAUCGCAUGCUUGAGAAAAGAAAUCAUGUCUUUGUUAUAAUCCUCCUCAUGUGAGAUUACAUAUGGCAAAAUUGGUAACAUUGAAAAAAGAAAGGGGAAGGGAAGAAAAUUAAAGAAAAAGUUUCAUGUUUGUGGGGUUUGUCCUAAUUGAUAUUGAUUGCUU